UACGUAGGGGGCAAGCGUUGUUCGGAAUUACUGGGCGUAAAGGGCGCGUAGGUGGCCUUCUAAGUUGAACGUGAAAUCCCUGGGCUCAACCCAGGAACUGCGUCCAAGACUGGGAGGCUUGAAUCCGGGAGAGGGAUGCGGAAUUCCAGGUGUAGCGGUGAAAUGCGUAGAUAUCUGGAGGAACACCGGUGGCGAAGGCGGCAUCCUGGACCGGGAUUGACACUGAGGCGCGAAAGCCAGGGGAGCAAACGGG
rnacentral:rRNA from 1 species